rnacentral:rRNA from 1 species
GACGAACGCUGGCGGCGCGCCUAACACAUGCCAGUCGAACGAGCGAGAGAGAGCUUGCUUUCUCGAGCGAGUGGCGAACGGGUGAGUAACGCGUGAGGAACCUGCCUCAAAGAGGGGGACAACAGUUGGAAACGACUGCUAAUACCGCAUAAGCCCACGGCUCGGCAUCGAGCAGGGGGAAAAGGAGCAAUCCGCUUUGAGAUGGCCUCGCGUCCGAUUAGCUAGUUGGUGGGGUAACGGCCCACCAAGGCGACGAUCGGUAGCCGGACUGAGAGGUUGAACGGCCACAUUGGGAGUGAGACACGGCCCAGACUCCUACGGGAGGCAGCAGUGGGGAAUAUUGCACAAUGGGGGAAAUCCUGAUGCAGCGACGCCGCGUGGAGGAAGAAGGUCUUCGGAUAGUAAACUCCGGUUGUGGGGGAAGAUAAUGACGGUACCCAACAAGGAAGUGACGGCUAACUACGUG